AUUGAACGCUAGCGGGAUGCUCUACACAUGCAAGUCGAACGGCAGCGCGGACUUCGGUCUGGCGGCGAGUGGCGAACGGGUGAGUAAUGUAUCGGAACGUGCCCAGUAGCGGGGGAUAACUACGCGAAAGCGUAGCUAAUACCGCAUACGCCCUACGGGGGAAAGCAGGGGAUCGUAAGACCUUGCACUAUUGGAGCGGCCGAUAGCGGAUUAGCUAGUUGGUGAGGUAACGGCUCACCAAGGCGACGAUCCGUAGCUGGUGUGAGAGGACGACCAGCCACACUGGGACUGAGACACGGCCCAGACUCCUACGGGAGGCAGCAGUGGGGAAUUUUGGACAAUGGGGGCAACCCUGAUCCAGCCAUCCCGCGUGUGCGAUGAAGGCCUUCGGGUUGUAAAGCACUUUUGGCAGGAAAGAAACGUCGCGGGCUAAUACCCCGUGGAACUGACGGUACCUGCAGAAUAAGCACCGGCUAACUACGUG
rnacentral:rRNA from 1 species